UCAACUGACCAUUGUAUAUUUUUAUCAAACUCAAGUAUGUGUUUACUUGGUAGGUUCUGAAAGCACGCAUUAGAAUGAAUCUUCAUGAGAGUCACAAUCUGGUCAAAACAUCAGACUUAAGGAAUUGUUGCUACUAUCUUGACAAAUAUAUUGAAGAAGUGCCAAUUAUUUUCAAUAUAAUUUAUUUACUUGCAGAAAAUAAAUUGUGUCAUGCUCCGAACUCAACACCCAGCUCGAUCACAUGACACGACUGUAUGAACCCUAGAGCAAUGUUCUAGAGAUCACAUAAGGCCUCAAAAUCCGUUACGACAUCAAUACCUAUAAAUAAUAACGACCUCAGUUCAUAACAAUUACUAGAACUUGUACAAUUACAAAUCCUAUCAUCCUUCAAUCAUUCGAUCAGACGUUAAUGCUGUUCUAUCUGUCCAUUCUUCACUGCAAACCCAAACCAUAGCCAAUUAUGAGCAUCCUGCAACUCUAAGAAGAAAAGAGAAAUGGAGGGUGAGCUUUAUAGCCCAGAAAGAAUCUCCACACACUCACAUCAAUAUAAUAAAAAUUUGAAAAUAAUAUAUGAACAAUAUCAAAAAAAAUAUAAACUAUAAAAUCUCAUAUCAAGUAUCUAAUAUAACUCAAUUCCAAUAUAAUGCCAAAGCACGCAUCAUACACCAUCAAAUAUUCAUCUCUUUCAAAAGUGAUAUACCACACAUAUGAAAUUAAGUAAAACUCUUUUUACUUAAUUAUGGUUUCAUAUCUUAUCACCCGUGUCUCAUUAAUAUGAUCCGAAUCCAUCAAUAGUUAUUUUUAGGAUUUUGGACUAAUCAUGAUCAUGCUUCAAUCCGUUAUUGGUAAACUCAAGUACCACAUUCCUAUCCAUGUUAGAGCUAUUCUCAGUAUCAUGUUUCUGCCCAUGGUGGGCUAUUCACAGUGUUAUGUUUCUACCCAUGGCGGGUUAUUCUCAGUACCAUAUUUCUAUCAAUGGCAGACUAUUCACAAUAUCACUUGCCUGCUCGUGACAAAGCUAUUUGCAAUUUAAUGUGACUAGUCCAAACACCC
rnacentral:lncRNA from 1 species